AAGUUGUUGCGGUUAAAAGCUCGUAGUUCGAGCUCAGUUCCGGACUGGCCGGGGAGGUCACCGCCCGGUGCUUCCCCGUCAGGCUCCGAACAGCCUUCGUGAGCGGAGGCCAAGCCGGUUCUGCCGGGGUGCUCUUUACCGAGUGUCCCGCGCGGCCGGCCAGUUCACCUUGAAUAAAUGAGAGUGCUCAAAGCAGGCUACUCUCGAAUACAAUGCCCGAAUGUUACCUGCAUGGAAUGAUGGAAGAUGAUCUCGGUUCCAUUUUAUUGGUGGUGGGAGCCCGAGGUAAUGAUAAACAGGGACUGUCGGGGGCAUCCGUACUACGACGCGAGAGGUGAAAUUCAGUGACCGUCGUAGGACGAACAACAGCGAAAGCAUUUGCCAAGAAUGUCUUCGUUGAUCAAGAACGAAAGUUAGAGGAUCGAAGGCGAUCAGAUACCGCCCUAGUUCUAACCCUAAACGAUGCUGACUAGCAAUUCGCCGUCGUUAUUCCCAUGACGUGGCGAGACGCCCCCGGGAAACCUCAAGUCUUUGAGUUCCGGGGGUAGUAUGGUUGCAAAACUGAAACUUAAAGGAAUUGACGGAAGGGCACCACCAGGAGUGGAGCCUGCGGCUUAAUUUGACUCAACACGGGAAACCUCACCAGGCCCGGACACCAGAAGGAUUGACAGAUUAAGAGCUCUUUCUCGAUUUGGUGGGUGGUGGUGCAUGGCCGUUCUUAGUUGGUGGAGUGAUUUGUCUGGUUAAUUCCGGUAACGAACGAGACUCUGGCCUACUAAAUAGUCGACGGGCGUUUUGGUGCAUGGGCCCCGUUCGACACAGUCUUCUUAGAGGGAUGAGCAGCGAGUAUAGCUGCAGGAGAUUGAGCAAUAACAGGUCUGUGAUGCCCUUAGAUGUCCUGGGCCGCACGCGCGCUACACUGAAUGGGUUAGCGGGUUGUCCUUCUCCGAGAGGAGCGGGAAAUCGCUUGAAAACCAUUCGUGAUAGGGAUUGGGGCUUGCAAUUGUUUCCCAUGAACGAGGAAUUCCCAGUAAGCGCAAGUCAUCAGCUUGCGUUGAUUAAGUCCCUGCCCUUUGUACACACCGCCCGUCGCUACUACCGAUUGAAUGAUUUAGUGAGGCCUUCGGACUGGCGGUCUUGGACUGGGGCGCCGGCGUUCUCCAGCAAUGGGGUGCCGGUGACCCGCCUAGACGGGCCGGAAAGAUGUCCAAACUUGAUCAUUUAGAGGAAGUAAAAGUCGUAACAAGGUUUCC
rnacentral:rRNA from 1 species